UAACAUAUUUAAAUUUUAAGUAAAAACAUGUGAAAUAGAAGAAUGUGAAGCAUUAAUGUCAAUCAAAACAUGCGCAAGUUAUUUUUAAAUAGUAUAUGCACCCUGUAUCACAUCUAAGUUGGCUUCGACAUCCUAUUGGAUGAGUGUGUAGACUCUGCCCAGUACUGCGAGUCUGGUAUAAUUCUGAUUCCUCGAGCACUCUCUCGCGGAUAUUCCCGCAUAUGCGACAGGCGUUGUUGAGGUGAUAGCAAGAUUGAUCUCCAUGAUUCUUACCACAGUGCUGGCAAAUCUUGUCGCGUCCUGCUAUUGGGGGUUGGGG
rnacentral:lncRNA from 1 species